CAGUCGCCGCGGUAAUACGUAGGUGGCAAGCGUUGUCCGGAAUUAUUGGGCGUAAAGGGCUCGCAGGCGGUUUCUUAAGUCUGAUGUGAAAGCCCCCGGCUCAACCGGGGAGGGUCAUUGGAAACUGGGAAACUUGAGUGCAGAAGAGGAGAGUGGAAUUCCACGUGUAGCGGUGAAAUGCGUAGAGAUGUGGAGGAACACCAGUGGCGAAGGCGACUCUCUGGUCUGUAACUGACGCUGAGGAGCGAAAGCGUGGGGAGCGAACAAGAUUAGAUACCCGCGUAGUCCCUGUCUCUUAUAC
rnacentral:rRNA from 1 species